GGGUCAAAAUCCCUAGUCCAUCUCCAAUUCCCCUCGGGCCUAGCAACACCUCUCCUUCCCCCAUCUCCUUCUCCACCACCGGCCACCGCCGUGGCCAGGCCGACGGAGUGGUGCGCCUCCCGCUUCAUCACGCAUCUCCAUCCACCACUCCACCAUCACCCUGCACCACCAGCGCCACCAGCACCCCCACCAUCACUCCGCGCCAUCCAUCGACCAUCUCCAUCCACCGCCGCAUCUGGCGCGACCCACCAGACUGCCCGUCUGGUGUCCCGCGCGAGCACGCCAUCCACCACUUUCACUCCUCCCUCUCGCUUGUUGUUGCUCCUCCCUCUUGCUUUGUCCUGCUGCUUAUUUUCUUCCCCUCGCCUUCCUCAACUGCUGCUGCUCCUUCUUCCUGUGCACCCCUGCUGCUCCUCUCUCUCGCAACUCCUGCUGCUGCUCUUCUUCCUCUUCUCCUCACCUUGCCGCUGCUCUGAAUCUUAACUUGUUGCUGCCGCUUCUUCUUCUCUGAACCCAACGCUGCUAGAUGCUCCUCCUAGUUCCGCUUCUCUUCUACCCAACAAAACUGCUGCUGCUCUCUUUAUUUCUCUUCAUCUCUCUCUUUCUAUGUGUGUGUGUAAUUUCUGUGAGUUACUAGUGGAUGCUAGAUCAACUAUAUUCUAUUCUGAAUUAGUAUUAUUUGUGUUUGUAUAUUAGUUAGUUUACUUUAAUAAUUCAGAUCACCUAUGAUCUUUGUGUUGAAUGUGCUUUCAGUGUUCUUGAGAAGUGUAAAACUGUUCAACAUUCAGUUUACAAUUUCUGAAACUUCUGUGAUUCAGUGGUGUCUCUAUGUCAUAUAUAUAGCCUAUGUACUGCCUGUUGUAGAAAAUUUCAGUUUGUAAGUUCCUGUGAUAGCUCCAGUACAUGUGACUUUUAUGUUGUCUCAAGUACCUGUGAUAUACAUACAUAUGUGUGUGUCUGUCAUGUGAUACAUUCAUGUUCUAUCCUACAACCUUGUUUCUUCCCCCUGUUAAUUGUUAGAUAGCUAUAGGUAUGUAUGUAUGUAUAUAUAUAUAUAUAUAUAUUCAUGUCUUUUUAAUUCCCUAGCAUUUUGAUGUUUUCUCAUGUUAGCAUUUUAUUUCUCAAGUUUAAUGAAAACCUCCCCUUGCUUGUUUUGUGUUUUCUUUGGCGACGAUCUUCAGGAAGAACUUUGUAUAGUUUAGGUUUAUAUUUUCUACAUUCGUCUCUUAAAAUUGUGUUACCUAUAUUUAGCCGAGCAUAGUCGUCGUCGCCUAGUCCCUAUGGGGAACACGACACUUGCAGUUUGGGGCGUAAAACCCCCGCUGUACUACAAUUGAUCAUUUUGGCGCCGUUGCCGGGGACUAGCGUCGAGUGGCCGUGUUAGGCUAUAGACUAGGUGUUUCUUCUUUUUCUAGUUUGUGCCAUAUAUAUGUGAUAUAUAUCUAACCCCUAAGGCUUGUUCAAGUUAUUUUCUCUUUCUUUGCUUGGUCAUUCUGCAGGUUAUUGCAUCUUCUCGGUUAUGGCUUACUGUUCGGAUCAUCAUGCUUAUGCGAGCAACACUACAAACAGCACGGAAAGUAUUCAAGACCUAAUAAGCAAGAUUUCCCAUCAAUUAUAUGAUUUAGCUCGACAACGAGAAGUAGUUUUUGAGGAUAGGCCUAGCUCUUAUGAUCCUUAUUCUAGAGGUCAUCCUUAUGUUGCUCCUACAUGCCAUAUUUGUGGAUUUCAGGGCCAUUCACCCGUUGAAUGUCAGCGUGGUUACUCUCACUCUUCCGAUUGUUAUGGCAUGAGCUUCGCCCCACAGCCUAGCUCAUACCAAAACAAUUACUCAUAUGGGUGGCCUGAAAACAAGAAUAUGUCAUAUAGGAGCAACAACCCUAAGAUCUCACUGUUUGCUUCUAGUAAUCAUAUGCUCCACAAUAGAUUUAUUCAGCUCCUACUCAUAUACCUCAACACCAGGAGAUGUUGCCAAUGGAGUUAAACGGUCCUCCAUUUCGUCAACCAACAACUCCAGCAACUGCCGAGCAAUCUCAUGUGCAAGUACCCACACAAGAUGAAUUUGAUGAUAUAGACAAGCUCACAUUGCUUAGUCUCGAGUUCACUUGGAGUGCUGAAGAUGAUCCAAUUAGGCCGGUGAUACUAGAUGAAAUGAAGAAGAUCAAGACUGGAAAAGAGCUACUGGAAGAAGUAAGGAAGAUUGAGAAGAACAUCAACGCUGGCAGCACUAUUUCUUCACAGCUUGAGCUGAGUGUUUCUAGGAUUCCUCUUGAUACAUGUGAGUUUCUAACACCUUCACAUUCAGCUGAGCAAGAUAGCGAGAUUCCAGAGGAAGAGAUGCUUCAGAUCCAAGAAGAAAUUCUUGAAGCCAAGUCACAAGAUGAUCCAGAGCUCGAAUACCCAAAUGAACAAGUUGAAGAUCCAAUGUCUACUACUUCCGAAGAAGUAAAAGAAGCUGUUGUAGAUGAAGAUGAAGAACCUGAGAUUCAUUUGCCUAUUGUUAUACAAGAGAGUGAUGUGCCAGGUUCAUUCAAUCCUCUUAAUGACAUGUCCCAUUAUGUUUUGUUUGACUCUACCUUGCUUUACAUGAUGCCAUCACUUAAGGUAGAUUUAAAGAAGUGUUUGCUUGGAUAUGAUGAUACAUAUACUGUUGAUGGAAUUGCUCAUAUUAAUGAUGAUCACACUUAUUUUCCUCAUGCCAAGCCUAUGCUUAAUGAUAAAUAUCAUCUUACUGCUAGUAUUGAGCUAGUUGAUUCCUAUAAUACUCGUCAUGUUCUAUAUUCCUAUGUUUAUAUAAUUGGAUACUCGAUUGAUGACUUAGAGGGCAUCGACCCUAUCACUCUUAGUUGUUGUUUGUGUGUGUCCUAUUUCAGGUUUUUGCUUGUGCACGAAUCAAUGUAUGUUGACCAGGUUCGAGGUGACAUCCCUUGGGAUCCCGGUGGAGUUAGAGCAUGGCGAUGAGGAGAAGCAAUGGGGCACACAUAUGGAAGAGAGGAGCUGGAGCGUGCACGAGGAAGCAAAAGGAGAGGAGUCACAAUGCAAGAGGAUGUGAGAUGAUCGAGUGUAUACCAUGUUCUCGGGAUCGGUGGUAUGUUCCUUCGAAAAGUGCGCAACGGCACUAUAAACUUCAAGAUCCAUACUAGUGGCUAAGAGAACAAAGAGGAGGAGGAAGAAUGGACUUGUGCGAGAAGAAACAAAGUAACCAGCGGGCUAACUAGAGAAGAGAGGGAUGUUCUUGCGAAGAAAGAAGGAAGUAGGAGGGCCAUUGUGAAAAUGGGCAGAUUGGAUCAAGGGGUCAAAAUCCCUAGUCCAUCUCCAAUUCCCCUCGGGCCUGGCAACACCUCUCCUUCCCCCAUCUGCUUCUCCACCACCGGCCACCGCCGCGGCCAGGCUGCCGUGGUGGUGCGCCUCUCACCUCAUCACCCAUCUCCAUCCACCACUCCACCAUCACCCUGCACCACCAACGCCACCAGCACUCCCACCAUCACUCCGCGCCAUCCAUCCACCAUCUCCAGCCACCGCCGCAUCUGGCGCGACCCACCAGACUGCCCGUCUGGUGUCCCGCACGAGCACGCCAUCCACCACUUCCACUCCCCCCUCUCUCUUAUUGCUGCUCCUCCCUCUUGCUUCGUCCUGCUGCUUCUUUUCUUCCCCUUGCCUUCCUCAACUGCUACUGAUCCUUCUUCCUAUGCACCCCUGCUGCUCCUCUCUCUCUCGCAACUCCUGCUGCUGCUCACCUUGCUGCUGCUCUGAACCUUAACUUGUUGCUUCCACUUCUUCUUCUCUGAACCCAACGCUGCUAGCUGCUCCUCCUAGUGUCGCUUCUCUUCUGCCCAAUAAAAUUGCUGCUGCUCUCUUUGUUCCUCUUCAUCUCUCUCUUUCUAUGUGUGUGUGUGUGUAAUUUCUGUGAGUUAUUAGUGGAUGCUAGAUCAACUAUAUUCUAUUCUGAAUUAGUAUUAUUUGUGUUUGUAUGUCAGUUAAUUUACUUUAAUAAUUCAGAUCACCUGUGAUCUUUGUGUUGAAUGUGCUUUCAGUGUUCUUGAGAAGUGUAAAACUGUUCAACAUUCCGUUUACAUGUUCUGAAACUUCUGUGAUUCAA